UUUGUAGAAGUCAAUGUCAUUGGUAUUGAUCUUAGUUAAAAGUGUAUCUAAGUAAAACUGAAAAGUUAUUUAUAUUUUGUUUCAAUUUGCUUAUAAGUGUUAUAUUAGUUCUGCAGUGUUUAUAUGUUAAAAGAUCAAAUAAAAUAUAUUUUAUGAUAUAUUCCCUUUUAUUAUAUAAGCAAAUAUUAUUGUUUUUGUAAAUUGUGUAUAUUGUUUCCAAGUGUUGAUUUGUUUGUAGCUGCUUAACUAAUCAGCAUUAUAUUUUUGAAACUCCAAUUAUUAGUUAGAAGGUUAAUAAAUUAAUGGAUUUCAGAAAUUGAAUCGGUUUACUCCAACUCAGUUCGGGUCAAAAUUCCUUGACUAAAUAUCAAUAUAUUCAAAAUAUUUUUUUGAUCAAAGCUUCUCCUUCCAUCACCAAUUUGGUAGAGAUCUUGAAACAAUAUAGUUGCCUAUCUGCUGAGUUGCAUUUGAUCGAUUUGUAAGUGUUUCGAUUUCUAUAAGAUCUUCAUUAUCUUGUAUAUAAUUUAAAGUGAAGAAAGUUAUAUGUAUAUAUAUGUUAAUGCCAUUUUUUUUUUUUUUUUGCUUAAUAAGUUCAUGCCAUUGUUAGAGAUCUGUUUAUCAAGUUGAGAACGAGGAGGUGGUUUGUUUAAUCUUUAAUCACUUGGGUUAUCUUGAAGAUAUACAUUAAGACUGGUGAUUUGGUAUAUGUAUCUUCAUAUUUUGUAAACUUGAUCCAGUGUUCUUUCUUACUUCAUAUAUAAGAUUAUAAUCUCCACAGAAACUUGAAAGCAAAUUAUUACAUAAACAUAAAUAUGCAUUAUAUAUUAAAGAUGAUAAAGUAAAGAGUAAAUAUAAGGAUGCUUUCACUAAAACCUUAUUCCCUAACAGAUUGUUUAAUCCACUAUUUUCUUUCUAAGUGAUCAAUCUUUUUGUGUAAAAGUUGUGUGUGACUAUCUUUUCUAUAUUGAAAUUCAAAUUUGCACAUGACAUUACAAAACUAUAAUGUUUUUUAGCAAAAAAAAAACCUAUAAUGUUCGUGGAUCUUUACUAAUAAAAUAGAGUUUUUUUUCUUUUUUGGGCAUUUUUCGCCAUGUGUCAUCUUAUCAUUCGCUCAUGUUUUUGAAUUGAGUUUUGUUUUUCGAUUUUGGCUUUGAGAAACAUUCAUGGCCCAAUUAUAUAUCUAUUUAUGAAUGUUUGUAGAUUUCAGGCUUAGUGUAGUGAGAAUAAGUUUAGUCGUCUUCUGCCUUUAGACAUUUGUAACCUCAGCCGACGAAAGUUGCAGAGAUCAAAGACAACGAUCACCUCUCUGUAACGUCUCACCUUUCCAUGCGUUCCUCACCAAAUUCGACGACCAUAUAUGUAUAUGAAACCUGAUGGAGAGGCCUUAGCUCACUAUUUCGUCUCCCUAUCUUCUACUCUUAUUGCAAUCUUCUAAAAUGGCAAAUCCUCAGAAGGCUGGUCAGCGUAAGGAGACUGUUCUUACCCGUUUCCUCCUUUUCUGGUAAGCUAGGAAUGUGAAGAAAGGUGGAGAGCUAAUGGAGAUCAAUAUGGUUCUGGUAGAUGAUAAGGUAAUUGAUUCCACUGAAUAUGUUGUUUCUUUAAAUCAUAUGUGAAAUUUAGCACAAUCUUUUGGCCGUUUUGUCGCUAUGGUAAUAUGUUACGGGCUCUCAGUAUCUGUCUAGAACCUUUUGACUCUAAAACUUUCUGAAUAUAUUAUCCUGCUCAGGUGACAAGAGAUAUAACAUUGAGAGAAUGGUUGGUAGAGGAAACCGGAGAAAGUAUAAAAUUAAAUUUUGGUUCUGUAUACAAAUUCGGUGUUGAGAGCUCAUCACUGGUAUUCUGUUGAUAUAGCGUUGAGAGAAUGGUUGAUAUAAACACACACAUUUGGUGUUCGAUUCUCAUCAUUGGUAGUCUGAUUCAGUUUGGGAACCUGUUCUACAUAUUUGAAGGAAGAGGUUGAAGUUGCAUGGGAAUCAGAUGAAACAAAAAAAGAGUAGACUUGAAGCGUGGUUCUGAUAUUUGUCGGAUACGAUCUCUUUGCUAUCAAGGUCUGGAGGAAUAGAUAGUUUCGUUGGAAUAACCAGAAUGCCAUCAUCCUUGAUACAGAAUGGUUCAAAGUUAAGACACGAACAAAACUAAGAGACCUCAUAAUGAAAGAGCAAAAACACACACCUUGAGAAGUGAGCCAAUAGCUACCUGCAUCUGGUUCCUAAUAGCGUUCAGGUUCUCAAUCUCUUGAUUGGCCAGCUCGGCUGUCUUGCCUUAGGUCGAUAUCGACAUUGAUUUUUGGGAAAAAUGCAAGUUUUAUGAUAUCAUGGAGAUUGUCAUGUUGUCAAAGGGUUCUUGAAACGAGAAUGGAGGAAGUUCUGUCAAAGUUCAUAUUAGCUGGAAUAUUUAGGUGCAACACAGCUUGAAGCUAAACUAGAAGAAUCUGUUUCCAAGAUCAACAGAGACAUUUUAUUCACAGCAUAUUUCUACUUGUGAUGCUAUUUUGUUUAUUUCUGCCAACAUUAAUGAAACAAAAGAUUUCAAUAGAAUUUCACAAAGGUUUUGUUUUACUAUUUACACUAUAUUAUCCUCUCUUUUUUGUACACUUUAUAAAUAGUUACAUCCAAUCCAC